rnacentral:rRNA from 1 species
UACGGAGGGGGCUAGCGUUGUUCGGAAUUACUGGGCGUAAAGCGCGCGUAGGCGGCUUUGUAAGUCAGAGGUGAAAGCCUGGAGCUCAACUCCAGAACUGCCUUUGAGACUGCAUCGCUAGAAUCAUGGAGAGGUAAGUGGAAUUCCGAGUGUAGAGGUGAAAUUCGUAGAUAUUCGCAAGAACACCAGUGGCGAAGGCGGCUCACUGGCCCGAUACUGACGCUGAGGCACGAAAGCGUGGGGAGCGAACAGG